rnacentral:antisense_RNA from 2 species
ACACUUUUCUACCGUCAUCGGCAUACAAAUCAAACCACGACCAUGUGUUGCCAUAAAGUUGAUCGCCUCUGGCGUCACUUUUUCAGCGGCCAUAAU